rnacentral:lncRNA from 1 species
CUUCCGGCCGCCAGGCGAGACUCCGCGGGAAAACUCCCUGCUAGAGAGACUAGGAGAUUUGGGGCUGCGGCCGUUUCCUCCGGAGCACCCACGGGACUGUGUGCUGGGGUCCCUCCACCGGCUGUGUCCUUUAUUCUUCUUUCUCACCCAACGAUUUACCUGAACGGUUAUAAAGUGCACGUUAUUUCCCUAAGCACUUUGAGUAUAUUGGCCCACUGCAU